rnacentral:rRNA from 1 species
UACGGGGGGGGCAAGCGUUGUUCGGAAUUACUGGGCGUAAAGGGCUCGUAGGCGGCCAACUAAGUCCGACGUGAAAUCCCCAGGCUUAACCUGGGAACUGCGUCGGAUACUGGUUGGCUUGAAUCCGGGAGAGGGUAGUGGAAUUCCCAGUGUAGCGGUGAAAUGCGUAGAUAUUGGGAGGAACACCGGUGGCGAAGGCGGCUACCUGGACCGGUACUGACGCUGAGGCGCGAAAGCUAGGGUAGCAAACAGG